ensembl:lncRNA
AUGACCCUGCCUGGACUUUACUCUGCAUACUGGAAUAAACCAUCCUCUUUAACGCCAGAAAAUCGUGUAUUGUGCUGUGCAUGUGGGUCCUUUCAUCUGCCGUUCCGUGACAGAACGAUCUGGCCAAACUUGGACCCAGCCAGCACUCAGCCGUCGCCCAGGUCAGUGACUGUUUUUGUUUCUUGGUUUUUUUUGGCGGCGAGUCUCAUUCACCUGCGAGGAAGUAUGGAGUUCACCUGCGCCGAGCUACCCAGCGACCUACGCGUUUAUUUUAAAAUCCUCGCGGAGGAUUACCGACGGGCGAUUAACCCGGAGAACCAGCGCAGCGCCGUGGAGGUGGCGAUAUUGACGCUGGAGGACGAUGACAGCGCGUUAGAGCGCCCCAGUGUUCGUCGCCUCUAUGAGCGGCUGUGCGCGAGGUUCGAUGAGCUAAGCGACGCGCUCUGCACCACGCCAGCGCCGGUCGCACCGCCGAUGGUUUCGGUUUCCUCCUCCCAGCCCCGUCGGACCGUCACGAUUGCACCAGCCUGCCCAGCCCCACGUUUGCUCCGCUGGGAGGAUUUCCUGCACUCGUGCGGUCCCCUGUCUCCAUGGUCUCCAGCUCAGCCGUGUUCCGUUCAGUCUCCAGUCCAGCCGCGAGCUGUUCAGUCUCCAGUCCAGCCGCGAGCUGUUCAGUCUCCAGUCCAGCCGCGAGCUGUUCAGUCUCCAGUCCAGCCGCGAGCUGUUCAGUCUCCAGUCCAGCCGCGAGCUGUUCAGUCUCCAGUCCAGCCGAGCCCUGUUCAGUCUCCAGUCCAGUUGAGCCCUGUUCAGGUUCCAGUCCAGUCGAGCCCAGUCCAGGUUCCAGUCCAGUCGAGCCCAGUCCAGGUUCCAGUCCAGUCGAGCCCAGUCCAGGUUCCAGUCCAGUCGAGCCCAGUCCAGUCGGUCCCAGUACAGUCGAGCCCUGUCCCAGUACCGUCGAGCCCUGUCCCAGUACAGUCGAGCCCUGUCCCAGUUCAGUACAGUCACGCUCCUGUCCCAGUUCAGUCCAGUCACGCGCAGGUCUUAUCCCAGCCAGAGGACUCCACCUGUCGAACGGGUGCUGUGCACACCCGAUCAGGCCCGACGUCUCCUCCGUCGAGCUCGGCAGCUGUAAGCAGUCAUGCCGGCUCCGGAGAGGACGCCGUCCCAGUUCCUGUCGGCCAUGUUGCGGCCGUUCCUGUCGGCCAUGUUGCGGCCGUUCCUGUCGGCCAUGUUGCGGCCGUUCUAGUCCCUGUUCCUGUUCCUGUCGGCCAUGUUGAGGCCGUUCCAGUCCCUGUUCCUGUUCCUGUCGGCCAUGUUGAGGCCGUUCCAGUCGGCCAUGUUGCGGCCGUUCCAGUCCCCGUUCCUGUUCCUGUCGGCCAUGUUGAGGCCGUUCCAGUCCCGGUUCCUGUUCCUGUCGGCCAUGUUGAGGCCGUUCCAGUCCCUGUUCCUGUCCCUGUCGGCCAAGUAGAUGCCGUUCCUGUCCCUGUCGGCCAAGUAGAUGCCGUUCCUGUCCCUGUCGGCCAAGUAGAUGCCGUUCCUGUCCCUGUCGGCCAAGUAGAUGCCGUUCCUGUCCCUGUCAGUCUCGGGGUGGCAGUCCCGGCGGACCUCCAGGAGGAGGUCGCGCCAGCUGCAGCCCCCGCGCACCUCCAGGAGGAGGUCGCGCCAGCUGCAGCCCCCGCGCACCUCCAGGAGGAGGUCGCGCCAGCUGCAGUCCCCGCGCACCUCCAGGAGGAGGUCGCGCCAGCUGCAGUCCCCGCGCACCUCCAGGAGGAGGUCGCGCCAGCUGCAGUUCCCGCGCACCUCCAGGAGGAGGUCGCGCCAGCUGCAGUCCCCGCGCACCUCCAGGAGGAGGUCGCGCCAGCUGCAGUCCCCGCGCACCUCCAGGAGGAGGUCGCGCCAGCUGCAGUCCCCGCGCACCUCCAGGAGGAGGUCGCGCCAGCUGCAGUCCCCGCGCACCUCCAGGAGGAGGUCGCGCCAGCUGCAGUCCCCGCGCACCUCCAGGAGGAGGUCGCGCCAGCUGCAGUCCCCGCGCACCUCCAGGAGGAGGUCGCGCCAGCUGCAGUCCCGGCGGACCUCCAGGAGGGGGUCGCGCCAGCCGCAGUCCCGGCGGACCUCCAGGAGGGGGUCGCGCCCGCCGCAGUCCCGGCGGACCUCCAGGAGAGGGUCGCGCCCGCCGCAGUCCCGGCGGACCUCCAGGAGGGGGUCGCGCCCAUCGCAGUCCCGGCGGACCUCCAGGAGGGGGUCGCGCCCGUCGCAGUCCCGGCGGACCUCCAGGAGGGGGUCGCGCCCGUCGCAGUUCCGGCGGACCUCCAGGAGGGGGUCGCGCCCGUCAUAGUUCCUGCCCACCUCCAGGAGGGUGUCGCGCCCGUCGCAGUUCCGGCGGACCUCCAGGAGGGGGUCGCGCCCGUCAUAGUUCCUGCCCACCUCCAGGAGGGUGUCGUUCCUGUCGCAGCCCCCGAUGCACCGGCAUCGGUUCCUGGCGGCUCGGCUCCGGCCGCACCUGCAUCGGUUCCUGGCGGCCCGGCCGCACCUGCAUCGGUUCCUGGCGGCCCGGUCGCACCUGCAUCGGUUCCUGGCGGCCCGGUCGCACCUGCAUCAGUUCCUGGCGGCUCGGCUCCGGCCGCGCCUGCAUCAGUUCCUGGCGGCUCGGCUCCGGCCGCACCUGCAUCGGUUCCUGGCGGCCCGGCGCUGACCGCGUGGCCACGUCUGUUCUCGCUUCGGCAGCUGGACUGGUGGCCUCGCCCUCGGCGCUUCCUGCCGUUUGGGUGGCGCUGCCUCCUGCGGCGCCGUCCGCCUCGGCUCCGCCGUCGUCAUGGCCGCUCGCCGGGGGAACGCCCCCUCCUGCCACGACGAUGGCGAGGCCUCUGCCGUCGUCGUCCGCCGCGACCCUGGGGUCCCCAGAGGAUCUCCGUCGGGAGUGGACUCUCCUGCCACCCCCCCUCGUGGGGAACUCCCUGGACUCUGUGUUUUACCUGGUCGUGGACUUUGUUUUUGACUUGUGGAUAUUCGGGUUGGGUUUUCUUGAUUAUGGGUCUUGUUCUGGUCUUGUUUUUCGGGUAG